AAAGCAAGCAUCGCGCCGCCGUCGUCGCUCGGCUCGGCUUCGGCUUCGGCUUCGGCUUUGAAUUUGGUAACAAGAUAACUUUUACCGCAUCCAAAAAUAGCAGCAAAAAGUGGGUUCAACUGCACCGCAAAACAACAGCAAAGGCGUCAAUUGUAAUAUUUAGAAGUGGCAACAAAAAUGUGUUCAACAAUGGUAAAUAGGUCUGCCACAACACUCCAAAUCAACAACAGAACUGCUUUCAAUUAUAAAAUAUAUAUUUCCGGAGAGCAUAACAAAGUAGUGUGGGACCUAUUGUAGAGUCCUUGGCUGUAUUAACAUUUACUUUUGCAAGAAAAACUUCCAUACAUGAGUACUCUUCUAUCACAUGUAUUAUAUAUGUAUCUCUAUGAGAUACAAAAAUCUGAUCACAUUAUUGUGGUGCCUUAGUGCUAGUAAUAAUCUGGCACUAUUUUAAACACUAUAACUUUAUAUUAGAAGCUAGAGAUCGAUGGCUACACGAAAUCAAACUUCUUUCUUUCAUAAUUCUUGGUUGCAAUUUCAUUUUUAUCUAUAUCGUUUUUGUCACCUAAAACAAAACAAAACAUUUAGUAAAAAAGUUAUAAAAUUAAAAAUCGAGGAAACAAUCCAUAAACUAAUAAUUGAAAUAUUUUAGAGUUAUUACUUUAUACACUUCUAAUUUGAGAUUACAAAGCAAAUAAUACUAAGUAGAUAUGUUGUACAUCAAUUAAAAUUGCUAGAACUUUGCAAGAGAAAAUUAAACAAUGCUAAAAGAUGCAAGAACAGGUGUAUGUAGAAACUACACAUGUAUUGGGCUAUUUUUUUGAUUUUUAUCAGGUGGCAUAAGUCUAUAUAAUUUGCGUCUCCUGGUCCUUUUGUCAUCACGUGUUUUUUCAAAGGUCUGAUCAUUUUCAUGAUUUCUAUCCGCCAUUAAGGCAACUUUUCUAUUGCCUGAAUAUUUUUCUAAUGACCAGUGCUUAAAAAAGGAAAAAAAUUAUAAUUUUAGCUAUAUGUUUAUCAUCGAUGAAUGAUAGGCGUACAAGGUAUGUAAGUUAAAUUGUAUUGGCAUAUACCGCAAAGUAAAGCAUCUCAGGUAAAGAUAUUUCUAUUAUAUGCAUAGCUACAUAACUAAUUUUGGAUAGAAUAUAUUACCUUGUAAUAAAAAAGAGUUAAAGUAUGAUUGAGACGAUCUGAAAUGAAUAAAAUAAAUAAAUAUUUUACUCAUCAAAAAUAAUAAAGGUAAAUAAAUGUCAAACGAUUUAGAUAGACAGAGCAAAUGGUUUUUCAAAAAUGAACAACUUUGCCAACACCUCCUUAAUACGAAAAAGGUAAGUGAAAAAAAUUAAAUCCAGCAAAAGAGCAGUACUUACUACCAGUGAUUUGCCACUAAAACGCACGAACAAACAUCUAUUACAACACAACAAAGAUCGAAACCUGUAAUUAAAACAAAACAAACCAAAAUAGGAAACUGUCAAUAAUGAUCUCGUAUAAGUGGUUUCUAUAUGCUGAGUGAAAAAAAAUAUUUUAUUUACCGGCUAAUGAGAAAAUAAAUUAGUGUAUAGGUAUGGACUCAUCAGAUGUAGCCAACAGCUUUUGUUCAAAGAAGUCAUGGCAACAAUUAGCCGAUGAAUACGUUAAAGAAUUAUCAACAAUGACUUUCUUAAGCCAGCUAUUUUCUGAUGAACUAACACUAACAAAUACAUUUGAAUAUAUUACAGAGAAGAAUGAUGACAAAGAAACAUUAAUUAUAAAGAACUGAAGUAAAAAAUCUCAUGUAACUAUGUAAAAGAAGAUAGUAAAAAGAAAGAAGAGAGGAACAACGAGGCGGCCUGCAAAGAACACUCUCUUCUUUGGAUCUCUAAUACAGAAGUUUUUAGAAAAGUCCUUUUUUUUCCUUCCAUAUUCGUAUUUCCCUUAUACCUUUGAUUUCUUGUGAGAAUUAACUUAAUUUUUUAGAUGUUUACCAUGAGAAGUUUUCAUGCUUUCCAAAAAUCACUAAUACUAAAAAGGAAAACCACAACAUAUGAAUCUCCUCUAUUGAUAAACAUAUGGCUCCUAAAACAUGAGAAAACAAACAACUACAAUGUUACAUCUAAAAGGGAGAUUAUUUCUUUUAUUCUAAGAAACUUCACCCCUCAACAUCACUAAAUAUCACUAAUACUAAAAGGGAAAAUUACAAUAUAUGAAUCUCCUCUAUUGAUAAACAUAUGACUCCUAAGACAGGAACAAACAAAAUGUUACAUCUAAAGGGGGAUUAUUUCUUUUUAUUCUAAGAAACUUCACCCCUCCAUUCUGUUCCCAACAACAUUUUUAUGUAGAGACUGGUGGCCUAAAAAGAAAGGUGAAAAACUUUUCAUACAAAGACCAAAGAUGAUACAUAUUUGCCUGCACUAACUUAGCCCCUAAAAAAUAAAAGUUUUACAAAGAUUAAAACAAUGACCAUACAAAGGACUCAAUGUCUACAUUACCAAUUUUACUACAUCAAAAGAGUAAAAAAAAUUAAUUAGAAAUACUUAGAAUCAUGGUCAUGGACAAUUAGGAUUUCUACAAGGUCCACCAUAGUAAAAGUAGUUCCCCCCACCACCCCCAGUUGUUAUUGAGUCCUUUUUUCUCUCUCUUUUGGUUAAAACUCUCUUCUUUGGAUCUCUAAUACAAAAGUUUUUAGAAAAAUCUUUUUUUUUCUCUCAUUUUAGCAUUUCCCUCAUACUUUUAUUUUUUCGAAUUUCUACCAUCUUUGCCUUUUCUAUAUAGUAGACAUAUUAUUAAUACUCAAAUUCAAAACAUAAAUAAAGAUCAUACAAAAAUAACAGAAGAAAAAGGAUUAAGCCAAAGAACAUUGGGGAGAUAGUUUGACAUAAAUAAUCUCUUUCAAAUACAAUGACCCAUAUAUUUCAGACAUGAAAUUUGGAAAUGGUAGUAGGCUUGGGAAAAUAAUUGAGGGGAAAAAGUGGAAGAAAAUCAGAUCUGAAGUUGGAACACUCAUUCAACAUGAAAUCAUUUUAUUUUUUUGAAAAGAAGUGGAAGAAGAUUAAAGAAAAGUUACUGAUCUAGUGGAGAAGAUGAAUUAAACCCACACAAAUCCUUCAAAAUAUACUGACUGGGAGUAAAUAAAUGUAUAAAAGAAACUGUUGGAGAGUUCUAGGAUAUUGGGUUUGGUUGGAUAAAAAAGCAGAUGAAAGUGGAGGAGAAUUC
rnacentral:lncRNA from 1 species